rnacentral:piRNA from 1 species
GUAGAGGCGAACCACAGGCACGCA